rnacentral:rRNA from 1 species
CCUACGGGAGGCAGCAGUGGGGAAUCUUUCACAAUGGGGGAAACCCUGAUCCAGCGACGCCGCGUGAGUGAAGAAGUAUUUCGGUAUGUAAAGCUCUAUCAGCAGGGAAGAAAGAAAUGACGGUACCUGACUAAGAAGCCCCGGCCAACUACGUGCCAGCAGCCGCGGUAAUACGGAGGGGGCCAGCGUCAUCCGGAUGUACGGGUUGUAAAGGGGGCGUAGACGGCGAUGCAAGUCUGAAGUGAAAGGCGGGGGCCCAACCCCCGGACUGCUGUGGAAACUGUGAGGCUGGAGUGCAGGAGAGGGAAGUGGAAUUCCUAGUGUAGCAGUGAAAUGCGUAGAUAUUAGGAGGAACACCAGUGGCGAAGGCGGGUUACUGGACUGUAACUGACGUUGAGGCUCGAAAGCGUGGGGAGCAAACAGGAUUAGAUACCCCAGUAGUC